rnacentral:rRNA from 1 species
AUGAACGCUGGCGGCGUGCCUAAUACAUGCAAGUCGCGCGAACAGACGAGGAGCUUGCUCCUCUGACGUUAGCGGCGGACGGGUGAGUAACACGUGGAUAACCUACCUAUAAGACUGGGAUAACUUCGGGAAACCGGAGCUAAUACCGGAUAAUAUAUUGAACCGCAUGGUUCAAUAGUGAAAGACGGUUUUGCUGUCACUUAUAGAUGGAUCCGCGCCGCAUUAGCUAGUUGGUAAGGUAACGGCUUACCAAGGCAACGAUGCGUAGCCGACCUGAGAGGGUGAUCGGCCACGCUGGAACUGAGACACGGUCCAGACUCCUACGGGAGGCAGCAGUAGGGAAUCUUCCGCAAUGGGCGAAAGCCUGACGGAGCAACGCCGCGUGAGUGAUGAAGGUCUUCGGAUCGUAAAACUCUGUUAUUAGGGAAGAACAAAUGUGUAAGUAACUAUGCACGUUUUGACGGUACCUAAUCAGAAAGCCACGGCUAACUACGUG